GCCGACUCCUCCCGCUAAGGCGGGAACACGCGGGGCCCAAGAUGGCGGCCAGCCGGUACCGGCGUUUUCUUAAGCUCUGUGAGGAAUGGCCAGUGGACGAGACCAAACGGGGCCGGGACUUGGGCGCUUACCUGCGACAGCGGGUAGCACAGGCCUUUCGGGAGGGAGAGAAUACCCAGGUUGGCGCUGCAGCUCUGGGAUUCAUUCAUUCAUAUAGCUCGUAUUUAUUGAGCACCUACCAUAUGCCUGGAACGGUGCUAGGGAAACAGCAGUGUUAAACAGGUGAAGUCCUGCCCGCAUGAAGUUUUACAUUGUAGUUCAGGACACAAUAAGCAGCUUAGCCCGAAACAGAGCCAAGCCAGCCCACCUAAAGGAGCAGGAGCACGCCCAGUGGCAUCAUUGUGACUGUACUGCUGAUUGGCUGGCAGCCUGGGGAGUGUCUGGCCCAGGUUAUACGAUACCCAGGGCCCUCACAUUAUUCAUGGUGGUCUUCACUGGCCCAAAGUGUAAAGAUCUUUAAGGCAAGAAUCUUAUCUAGUCCCAAUUCUACAAACCCGUGAACUUUCUAAAGCUGUACUCCCUGCAUAUUUUUAGUAUGAGCUUCCUGAAAAUAGAGAUGAUGCCAUUUUUAUCUUUCCCUCUCUCCCCUACGAGUGUCUAGCUAGUUCUUGGCCCAUAAAAAAACACUCAGUAAAUGUCUGAAUGGAUAAGUAAAUAAUUG
rnacentral:lncRNA from 1 species